rnacentral:piRNA from 1 species
UCAACUAACCUGGGCCCUUCGGGACUCUUU